rnacentral:lncRNA from 1 species
GGUCACGUGGGUAAGCUUCAUGAUUUGGGCGAUGCUGAUUGACUUCCUCGUUGGCUCAUAAAGGUCGACCUUCUCAGUUGUCCCACCUAGUCUUUGUGUUGGUGGACUGUGCUUGCGAGGGAUUCCAUGUAUAUUGUCGACGGGAAUUGGUUCUUCAGGAGUGGGUAGUGGAUCGUCUUUCUUCACGAUCCUCAUUGUGAGAGUCAUCAGGUUGACCUCCUUGAGGGCCUAGACUUUCAUGAGUAUUUCCUGCGGGCCCAGGCGAGGGCGGAUAUCAAGUCGCCAUCCCAGCCUUUCACAUGCGGUGGUCCUCAAACUCAAUCUAGAUGGGAGGCUUCGUCUGCUAUGAGUAUGGCUUGCAGAUGCUUGUGACAUGUCAGCAAGCUGACAACGUUAUUGUCCUUCUACUUGUCUACUUACUCUUGCUCGACCUGCUUAGGACCUAUCGAAUUGCCCAUUAGCGCUUUCGUCCAUCCUUCUCUCUUCGCCCUGUUGUUCAAGGCCAAGGUUUUGAGCCAAG